GUUUCUUUGUGAUUUUUUUGAGUGGUUUAAAUAGAAAUAAAAACCUACGAUAACGAAGGAGUGGUGAAUUUCUUUCUGCUCGUAAACGGUAAGUCGCUUAAUCCGCCACUGCUAACCGUUGAUAGUGUUCCGAAGAAUAGUUACAGUGUCCGGAGAGUGAAAAUACUGUAUGAUCUAGUUAGUACCUAUGACAAACCACGGUGGGCCCAAAUGAUGCGAGGGUAAAAAACCACCGAUGAGCGGAUGAGAAAGGUGUUAAGUUUAAGAGCAUAUGCCGUACGCCUUAUGUGCUGUCUCCGUCAUAGCAAAAACGUCCUUACGCAGAGUAGAACUGGCUUAAUUUCGGUUUUAGAGCGAAAACACCUGAUGAAAUAUUGAAAAAGGACAAUGUUUUGGAGGUUUUGACGAAGAGUGAGUGUGUGACAAAGUACUUCAAAGUCCGAUGACAAAAUGUCCACGGGAUCAAGCAUAUUAUAUUAUGUAUACCGAGUGAACUGACUACGGGUGACGUUACAUUCGAGGCGGGAAAAACUCGUGCGUUCAAGCGUUGGUUGUCCGGCAUACAGCUAAACAGAAAACCGAAAACUUCAAAAAAAUAAAACAACCGUCACAUCGACGACCGAAUGUGUUGCACCUAUAAAAAAUAAAAAAACUCGGUGGCUCGUUCGCGGGUUGUGGGUAGACGACGUGGAGUAAACGCAUAUACACACACGCGCGCGAUCACAAUGGACCAAGAAAGCCGUUCCCAGUUUUUUUUUUUUUUUUUUUUUUUUUUUUUUUAAUAGCUAUACU